rnacentral:tRNA from 1 species
AAAGUGCCUGAGUAAAGGAUUAUUGUGAUACAAUAAAAAAUGUAGUAGUAUCUGCCUUUG